AAAUAAAACCGUGUAUUUAAUUUAGCAUGUAUAUAUUGCUUCUAUGUAUAUAAUAAUUCGUUUCGUUUAAAACAGUCAGAUUUAGAACUACUGCCACUGACUGCACCGGAAGUCUAUUUAUAUAAUGGCGCCACAAAGAAAAUUUUUUUGAUGUGUUCUAAAAGUGUUCCGCUAAUUCAGCAAUCUAAUGAAUCUGUCUUAAUUUUUCUGAAAUCGUGCUUAAUUAUUAUUAGCUAAUCGGCGCUACACCGUUGUUCAAAUACUUAUAAUUGCAAGAAACCCCCUACUAGGACUAGCAGGUAAGAAUCUGUCUUGAUUUUAUAGUAAUACCCGGUUGCAAUUAUUGGCCGCCAUCUUUGAUUUUUAUAGACGUUCGGGCAAAAGGAGAAAUGUAUAUCCAGACAUGGACUAUAGCUAGAUACUAACUUUUGUGUUAGUUGUUUAGUUGAAAUGUAAUCUUAUUUCUGUAAAAGAAAAAAACAACAACAAACAAAUCAGCCUUUUUUUUAUAUCAAUGUCAUCAAUGUGUAGGCCUAAUAUUAGACUUUCAAUGAUUCAGAAGUUUCUCUACAGUUUCGUUAUUUUUUUUUCCAGUCAUUGAUGUUAGCAUGUACUACACAAAGAAAAACAGGCAAAGCAUGAAGCCAAAGGAAAUGUUUUUACCAAGGCAUGUUCCUCAAUAGCGGAGAGAGUUUUAUCCAGUGUCGGUUCUGCAGAAGAACCCAUUCAUAGCAGACCACCCAUUGCAGCACUUGUAAGGUCGCUAUAAAGAACCCGACAGACUCUGCGACCAAAAGAUCCCACUGACGUGUCGUCAAGCCUUGACGAAGAUUUCAUCGAUCAUAGUGCACCGGGAUUUUAUCAAAAAAGAGUAAAAGUUGGGGAAAGGCGCCAUCACAUUUUUUGUACUGAUAGACAGAUGCAACUUUUCGGGUGGUGAACAAGCCAUGGUCUCAGCUGUUUUUCCAUACACGCCUUCAUUAAGACUGGAGAGACCACCCGACAGUUACCAUUGGUGUUUUGUGUAAUGUCGGGUAAAAGCCAAGACGACUAUUAUAAGUUUCCAUAUUAGAUGCCAUAGCAAAUCAAAGAUCAUAUAAUAAAAUAAGUCAAAAAACCCAAAUAUGGAAAAAGAAAGAGCUGAAGAAAUGGUGAUUUGAGCACCUAUGCUUUCUCAUAGGUGUUUUUGGAGGUUUCCAUAUUAGAUGCCAUAGCAAAUCAAAGAUCAUAUAAUAAAAUAAGUCAAAAAACCCAAAUAUGGGAAAAGAAAGAGCUGAAGAAAUGGUGAUUUGAGCACCUAUGAUUUCUCAUAGGUGUUUUUGGAGGGUGAGUGUUCAAUUCUAAUAGAAAAGAUUGUUGUUGUGGUAUUUUAGAAUCUCACCAUAAUGUGUUUGGCACAAUAUAGCCCGGUUGGAGCUGAUGUGA